rnacentral:rRNA from 1 species
UACGAAGGGGGCUAGCGUUGCUCGGAAUGACUGGGCGUAAAGAGCGCGUAGGCGAACUGCACAGUCAGGCGUGAAAUUCCUGGGCUUAACCUGGAGACUGCGUCUGAGACGUGUGAUCUAGAGUGAGGAAGAGGGUCGUGGAAUUUCCAGUGUAGAGGUGAAAUGCGUAGAUAUUGGUAAGAACACCGGUGGCGAAGGCGGCGACCUGGUCCAUGACUGACGCUGUGGCGUGAAAGCGUGGGGAGCAAACAGG